GUAGCAUGGUCAGUGGUGAUACAGGAAAAGAAGAAGGCUACUUUUGUGCGUAAGCCUCCACAGACUAUUUCAAAACUUUAAUGUCCGGUAGUAGUCUUUCAUGAUAAAUUUUAGUGAAGUGCAACUCGGCAGGAGAAGAAGGAAUUCAGAGCAACAUCUACUUCAGUCACAGUAUCCUGCUUCUCAGUCCUGGUGAAGUUAGGCCGACUGCAGGCCUGUUCUCCAGAAAGGCUGCACAGGAUGGGAAUUUGAGCCGACGGUCACAGAAAUUUCACAAGGACAGGAGUGACAGGACAAAGUACUAAAGCAAGAGAAGAUCGCUUUAAACAUAAAUGUAUAAAUUUCCUUAAUUGAGCGCUCCUGGAAUUUACGGCUUUUGAAGGAAAUAACUUUGAUCACAGACAGGAACAGGAGUAAUGAUAAACUGACAGAGGAAACUGGAAGAGGAGACAAGUUACAUUCUGCAUUUUGUUUCCCUUUCUGGUUGCAGACCGACACUGAGUUGGGAUGAGGUGCUUGUCAAUCACCAAAGUCCAGCCCCAGCUGGAAGAAAUUCAUAAAACUAGCAGCUGAGAAAUACUGCAAAAAGUACUCAGCAUGAGAAUGUUCCAGACCAAAUGCAUGUUGCUACAAUGAAUCUCUGUGUUCAAACAUAUUUUACCUGAUAUUUGCCAGGGAUUUGGGGAAAUAACAUCGCACUUGGCUUUGGUCAGAACUCUGCUUUCGGAGAAAAUAUCAAAACAUGUUUUGUUGCCUAUCAGUAUUUUGCAGACAUGUGAAACCUGUUAAUUUCAUUCUAGUGUAAAGAACACCUGGAAAUGUUACCACUUUAAUAUACAAAUGAAAGAGUUCAGAGACUGAAUAUCCACAUUUGUAUAUUUUUCACAAAGCUUAUUUUCUCAAGUUCCAAAUGAUGUUUUUUCUUAGUAAAUAAUAAAGUGUAGUAAAUAGUAAAUAAAGAAAUAAGAUGGCUAUCCCUGCAACAACACAAUGAACAUACUGUUUGCUUAGUAGUAUGUCUUCAUACAUAACUCACUUCAGGAAAAAGUCAAAU